rnacentral:rRNA from 1 species
GGAUUAGAUACCCUGGUAGUCCACGCCGUAAACGAUGCACACUAGACGUCGGAGGUUCUGACACCGUCGGCGUUGGAGCAAAAGUAUUAAGUGUGCCGCCUGGGGAGUACGGCCGCAAGGCUAAAACUCAAAGGAAUUGACGGGGGCUCACACAAGCGGUGGAGCAUGUGGCUUAAUUCGAAGCAACGCGAAGAACCUUACCCAGGUUUGACAUGCUUGGAUGCGGCCCGGGGAUAACUCGGGUUCGCUGCCCUUCGGGGUGAAACUUGCACAGGUGUUGCAUGGCUGUCGUCAGCUCGUGUCG